rnacentral:piRNA from 1 species
UAAGGAUUGAAAAUGUCAAGGUUGUGGCAA